GUGUAGAUGUUCUGGGCCGCACGCGCGCUACACUGACAGAGCCAGCGAGUACAUCACCUUGGCCGAAAGGUCUGGGUAAUCUUGUGAAACUCU
rnacentral:rRNA from 1 species